GUGAGUAGGCGUCAUUCUUCACAGUAGUCCUCUGCCUCCACCGCCCCGGGAUCUCCUUGCGCUCGGUCCUCUACGUGGAGUCACCUAUGCAGAGGAAUUCCACGGGGCGGGGGCGAGGACAGGGUGCGGGGGUCUUUAUGGCAGACAAUCCCCGGCUGAGCGCUUGGCCAGAGUUUCUGUGAUGCUAGAAUCUGGACUGCCUGCGACCUCUCCGGGACUCGGACACCAGCCCUCGCCUCCUGGUGAUCUUUUAGGUCCUGCAGAGAAGUGAAGAGAUCUCGCUCUGUCACCCAGGCUGGAGUGAAAUGGCACAAUCUUGGCUCACUGUAACCUCCGCCCCCAGGUUCGACUGAUUCUCGUGCCUCAGCCUCCUCAGUAGCUGGGAUUACAGAUGAGCCCCAGAGAGGCGAAGCCACUUGAGCUCGUGAGUGACAGUCAGAUGUCAAGCCCUGCUCUUUCUAAAGCGUGCUGCCUUCAGAAAAGAAGAGCCAGAAGGAUGGAAAUUACUUCAGAAAGAUGAAUACCAGCUUUGAAGGAAUAAAAGCUGACGAGGAAUUGAAGGAGUUGAGGCACGAGCUUGAACAGGGUUGCAUGUUUGGCCCUUGAUUGUAAAUGCCCAUUGCUGCACCUGUUCCUGUUACUUGGGGAGUUGCAGCAGAAGGAACAGCGGCCUGGGACUCCAGAGAACUGGGUUCCCUCUCAUCCCUCCAGGGCCACCACUUCUUGUGGGCCCUUGGGCAAGUCACUGUACUUUCUGAGUCUCAGUUUCCCCAUUUGCAGAAUGGAAAUAACUACCCCGGUCUACCAACUUAGAAGAAUUGCUUUGAGGAUCUGAUAAGGUGGUGUGGAUGAUGCUGCCUUGGGGGCUUUACAGUCUGGAGCUCAAGGGACCCCUUAAGUUGGGCUUACUUAGUAACUCCAGGGGUGGGCAGAACAGGACUCCAAUGAGGGUUUUUUUCUUUUUCCCUUUUUUUUCUUUUCCUAUCUCUUAACUUUUAUCUUUAUUAUUUUACAAUGCCCUUGUAAGAUGAAACAAGUGAUGCUGAAAUAUCUUUUUCUUUUUUAACCUUUAUUUUAGAAUUGGGGUACAUGUGCAGGUUUGUUACAUAGGUACAGUGUGGGCUGCUGAGGUUUGGGAGUACGAAUGAAUUAGUCACCCCAGUGGUGAGCAUAGUGCCCGAUAAGUGGUUUUUUCAACCCUUACUCCCAUCCCUCUCCAUUCUUGUGUUCCCCAGUGUCUGCUGUUCCCAUUUUUAUGACCAUGUGUACUCAAUGUUUAGCUCCCACUUAGAAGUAAGAACAUGCCCAGCACUUUGGGAGGCCGAGGUGGGUGGAUCAUGAGGUCAAGAGAUCGAGACCAUCUUGGCUAACAAAGUGAAACCCUGUCUCUACUAAAAACAUAAAAAAUUGGCCGGGUGUGGUGGUGGGCACCUGUAGUCCUAGCUACUCGGGAGGCUGAGACAGGAGAAUCGCCUGAACCGGGGAGGUGGAGGUUGCAGUGAGCUGAGAUUGUACCACUGCACUCCAGCCUGGGUGACAGAGUGAGACUCCAUCUCAAAAAAAUAAAAAUAAAAAAAUAAAAAGAAUGUGGUGUAUGAAAAAAAAAAAAAAA
rnacentral:lncRNA from 1 species